GAUGAAGGAACGUAGCGAAAUGCGAUACGUAAUGUGAAUUGCAGAAUUCAGUGAAUCAUCGAGUCUUUGAACGCACAUUGCGCCCCCUGGUAUUCCGGGGGGCAUGCCUGUCCGAGCGUCAUUGCUGCCCUCAAGCACGGCUUGUGUGUUGGGCCUCCGUCCUCCUCCCGGGGGACGGGCCCGAAAGGCAGCGGCGGCACCGCGUCCGGUCCUCGAGCGUAUGGGGCUUCGUCACCCGCUCUUGUAGGCCCGGUCGGCGCUUGCCGACACAUCAAUCUUUUUUCCAGGUUGACCUCGGAUCAGGUAGGGAUACCCGCUGAACUUAAGCAUAUCAAUAAGCGGAGGA
rnacentral:misc_RNA from 1 species